UCCUGACCUUCAUCUCAAGCUUCUAAUUUUUCUACUAAUUGACGUAUUUUUUAUUAUUAGAUCUUAUCAUAAGGAAAGGUUCAAUACACCAAGUCUUUAUUAGGUACUGAUACCGAUAGAAAAUCCUACCUCGGUUGAAUUUGAUGUACCCAUCUCUCCCUAAGCUGAAGAUCCAAAAAGCCUCGAUCACUACCAACCCUGGCUUUAAUUAGCCGACCUAAGGUACUCUAAUCGACCUUAAUCAAUAUAAUUGGAAAGGUUGACCUUAAGAUCCCACGUAGAUUUUCAAAUCCCACGACCGCCUAGAACAGCUAGCGACGAAAUAGAUAAAAUAAUAGACAACCACCGAAAUGUGAAAGAUCGGGCCGAGAAUCUCGAAAAUGUCACUCCUAAAAUAGUUGGGAUGACCUCUUGCACUUCUAUCCUCUCAUGGCUCUCACUUUUAUCUAUAAAUAGAGGCUAACAAGGGAUCCCUAAAUAUGCAAUCUCUUUCUCAUACUCCUUUCUAUCUGUCCUGAGUUCUUGACUUAAGCAUCGGAGGAUCUCUGUUGGAGCUGAUUUGAUCAGAGACUACUUUUGCAGGUCUAACCACCAUCGUCCUAUCAUCAUUGCUCAACUCUAGUCGUACUGACCUCCAAGUCAGAAAUUCACAGCAAUAUAUU
rnacentral:lncRNA from 1 species